rnacentral:misc_RNA from 1 species
UUUCCGUAGGUGAACCUGCGGAAGGAUCAUUAUUGUAUAACCGAGGUGCGAGGGCUGUCGCUGACCCGAAAGGUCGUGCACGCCCGAGUGCCCUCACACACAUCCAUCUCACCCCUAUGUGCACCACCGCGUGGGUUCCCCUUUGGCUUGUUCGGAGGGGGGCUUACGUUUUCACACAAACUUUGUAUGCAGUGUAGAAUGUAUUUUUUGUUUUUGCGAUCACGCAACCAAUACAACUUUCAACAACGGAUCUCUUGGCUCUC